UACGAAGGGGGCUAGCGUUGCUCGGAAUCACUGGGCGUAAAGGGUGCGUAGGCGGGUCUUUAAGUCAGGGGUGAAAUCCUGGAGCUCAACUCCAGAACUGCCUUUGAUACUGAAGAUCUUGAGUUCGGGAGAGGUGAGUGGAACUGCGAGUGUAGAGGUGAAAUUCGUAGAUAUUCGCAAGAACACCAGUGGCGAAGGCGGCUCACUGGCCCGAUACUGACGCUGAGGCACGAAAGCGUG
rnacentral:rRNA from 1 species